AUAAAUUUUUUUAAAUCGUGCUUUACAUAUGUUGUGUAAAAUUUUUCUCGAAAUUAGGUUAGAAUUUUCGCGAUUUUCGUUUUUAAUUUUCAAACAUUUUCGAAAUGUCUCGUGUUGAAAUUGACCAUGUGCGCGAUGUUACUGUGUUCAAGUGUUUAAUUUAAAGCAGUGUCAGUGUUAAAUUAAAAAAGUGUUAAUGUGUACAGUUUUUUUUUUGAAGACAACAUCUGGAUUAAAUCAAGAGGAUCAAAAUUGGGGGAGGGUUCAAACAACAAUCAUCGAUAUAAGAACCAUGCACGUGUAUCAUCCUUUCCGAAUAUGAACUAAAUGAGGAUCCUGGCGCUCUCUGGUGAAACUUCAUUCAACAUUUUCUUUGGAUAUUAUAGGUAAGCGAG